rnacentral:rRNA from 1 species
GACGAACGCUGGCGGCGUGCCUAAUACAUGCAAGUCGAACGCUGAAGGAGGAGCUUGCUCUUCUGGAUGAGUUGCGAACGGGUGAGUAACGCGUAGGUAACCUGCCUGGUAGCGGGGGAUAACUAUUGGAAACGAUAGCUAAUACCGCAUAAGAGUAGAUGUUGCAUGACAUUUGCUUAAAAGGUGCAAUUGCCUCACUACCAGAUGGACCUGCGUUGUAUUAGCUAGUUGGUGGGGUAACGGCUCACCAAGGCGACGAUACAUAGCCGACCUGAGAGGGUGAUCGGCCACACUGGGACUGAGACACGGCCCAGACUCCUACGGGAGGCAGCAGUAGGGAAUCUUCGGCAAUGGACGGAAGUCUGACCGAGCAACGCCGCGGGAGUGAAGAAGGGUGUCGGAUCGUAAAGCUCUGUUGUAAGAGAAGAACGAGUGUGAGAGUGGAAAGUUCACACUGUGACGGUAUCUUACCAGAAAGGGACGGCUAACUACGUG